rnacentral:lncRNA from 1 species
AGGGACUCAACUUGGGUCUGUUGUUUCUGAAGCCACGGUCACCAGCUUUAGAUUUGCGCCUCUGUGAGAUGACUUCCUCUUGUCUUGGAAGGUAGUGGAACUUUCAGCAAGGAACUUUCAGCAGAUGGCUAAAAUUCUCUGUAGUUGUUCCUAAUAAUAAUGCCAACCCAGCACUAGGCUUUCAGCCACUACUAUGAAAACGAAAAACCCUGCCAGAGCAUAAAACAAAGUGUAAUUCUUCAAAUAUAAACUUUAAACCCAUUUCCACAAGCCUGAGUUAUUUAGAAUUGGUUGAGCUCCCUGCCACAUGGAUCAUUUUAAAGUUGUUUUCUUUCUCUUUUUGAAAAUUUCUUCUUUAAGCACAUGUUUAAUGUGU